GUCACCGGACAACAGGACCCAUGCUCGCCUGCGUCACCACGGGCACGGGGUGGCCUCGAGGUCCCCUUCAAACACGCCCCAGCAGUUAAACCCAAAGCAGAAGUGACACGGGGACGCGCCCUCUAACAUCAGCUUAGGUUUUCACCAGGAGAGCAAAGGCAGGGUGAAAAUCCCGCGUGGCCUAGCAGAGAACGUUACCUGACUGAGGGGACAAAUAUGAAUUUAUUUUUAAUCUCCAGCUGGGAAGCAAGGGCGAGAAGGGAAGAAGAGCUGCUCGCUGAGCAGGAGCGGUCUGGGCAACCUCGACAGCCGGGAGGCGGGCCCCACGGUCAUGUGCUUGGGUCCCAGGAACCUGGAGGAGUAAGACUGACCCGGGACGCACACAGCACGCGUGGGAUUCAGGGCCCAGCAGAGCUGGGCUCCAAUGCCAGCCUCAUGGCACGCAGGCUCCAGGCUAUCUUGUUUCUUUAGUGGAUGCUUUCAUCUACCUGAAUUCAAGAUCAACUCCUUGCCCUCAGCCUCCGCGAACAAUGACUUCCCGUCAUUGAGACUCCGCUGUAACUGCUCCAGCAACUGCACUCACCACGGCAAAACCACACAGGGCGACGCCUCCCAGCAGCCUCCAGCCUCCGUCCCCACAGAUCCAGGCGGGGGAAGGCUCCUAACCCAGCGGCUGUCUCUCCCUCCGCUGCGGCAAACCCAGGCCACGCUCCAGAAGCCAGCAGAUCCCCGCCUUCCCUAAUACAGAGCUCAGCACAAAGCAGGCCCUGAACGCCAAAGCAAGCAUUAAACAAACAAAACCAAAAACCACCACCCUCCCGUGCGGCUCCAGGGAGAAGAGUCCAUGCUGCAGCGUACGCGGGACCGCGCCCGCUCUGCGGCUCUGGCGCCCGUCAGGAACGUGGACUGGCCAUCAGCUGGGGAUCAGCGGUGACUGCGACCUAGACGCUGUCCUCGAGGGGCUCAGAGUAACAGCAAGACACACCUAGCCAGACGAGACCACAGCAAGGCCACAGGAGAGCAGGCCAGAGAGCGGGCGCCGGGAGGAGGUCCCCUCUGCCCUGGGGAUGCCAGGAAGGCUUCAGGGAAGAGGUGUCAGUGUUAAAGACGCGCGGAAAUGGGUCAAAGGGACGCAGGGCAGAGGGGAAGGGAGGGGAGCAUCUCAGGCAAAGGCAGGGAAGUGGGAGCCAGAGCGCGGGGCUCAGCAGGAGGAGAGGAGAAAACCACAGGCAUGGAUCUCUUCAGUCUGUCAACUGUGGGACCCAGACGGCAAACUCUCCCAUUGACAAUGGCCUGAGGCCAGAGCAGUGACAAAUUCUAACAGUCCCUCAGCGCUCACAGAGACUGUGGACAAAGAGCUCCCGGGGGGUCACCACCGUCAGCUCAGAGCUGAGCAGGGGUGGGGAGGGCGGUCAAGGAAACUGGAGACACUUCUGGGACUGUGUCCCCGGAAAUCACGGGAGUAGCAGAAACCGCACGCUGACAUGCACACAGGUAAUUUUACCGUCCAAAAGCAGCAACAAAAUCACUUCUUUGUUGUUGGACGAGUAAAUGAUUCACAGAUGGAACACCGCAAAGACAGCACUGACUGUAUGCAGGUUUCUCCUUAGACGGGGAAAUGUCUCCUCUGAGUAAAAGGCAGCCUACCAAGCUUUGAAAAUAAAAAUGGCACACA